GAUGAACGCUGGCGGCGUGCCUAAUACAUGCAAGUCGAGCGAACAGACGAGGAGCUUGCUCCUCUGACGUUAGCGGCGGACGGGUGAGUAACACGUGGAUAACCUACCUAUAAGACUGGGAUAACUUCGGGAAACCGGAGCUAAUACCGGAUAAUAUAUUGAACCGCAUGGUUCAAUAGUGAAAGACGGUUUUGCUGUCACUUAUAGAUGGAUCCGCGCCGCAUUAGCUAGUUGGUAAGGUAACGGCUUACCAAGGCAACGAUGCGUAGCCGACCUGAGAGGGUGAUCGGCCACACUGGAACUGAGACACGGUCCAGACUCCUACGGGAGGCAGCAGUAGGGAAUCUUCCGCAAAGGGCGAAAGCUUGACGGAGCAAUGCCGCGUGAGUGAUGAAGGUCUUCGGAUCGUAAAACUCUGUUAUUAGGGAAGAACAAAUGUGUAAGUAACUAUGCACGUCUUGACGGUACCUAAUCAGAAAGCCACGGCUAACUACGUG
rnacentral:rRNA from 1 species